UUUUUAUAAUUUUGGAUUUUGAUGUUGGAACUUGGAACCGAUUUCUUCAUCAAACAAAAUUUUCUAGUUGGGAAAAGAACCCAUUUAAGUGAAAAAGUGAAUCCAAUGAAGCAAAACUGAAGGCGCAAUCAAGUUGUUCGUCCUCCGAGUCUCCGACACGAAGAUCUCCCUCUCAUCGGCUGCAAACGGAUUCAAAUUUCCAAUUUGUAAUGUAGUACCAACGCUGCAGUGAUGAUUCGUCGUCAAAUUUCAAUGGCACGACAAUGGCCUCAACAUCCAAAGCAGCGAUGGCGGAUCAUCUAUCACAAAAUAGUUCAAUCUACUUACAAUCUUCUUCAACUUAUGCAGCAUUCUUCUUCUCAGGUGCUUGACCAGCUCUAGAAUAUCAUCAAUACUCUCAAUAAUUUGCUCUUGUAUGCUGAGAACCAAGCUGAUGAUCGACCGAGCAGUUUGUGGUUGGCUUUAAAGGCUUAACAUUGUUGUCUAUACUGCUGAUGACUUGUUUGAUGAACUCCACACUAUUGCAUAUAGCAGACCACUCGUGGGUCAAAGCACAAUGUCUAAGAAGGUAGUGAAUUUCUUCGCCCUUUCUACAAAUCAGCUUGCUCUUCCUUUCCGAAUUUCCAGAAGGUUAAAAGCAAUUAGGCAAGAACGACAUUGUUAAAGAUGGUAAUGAGGUUAAAAGCAAUUUGGCUUUUUUGAAGAUUGGUACAACCGGGAGUAAGAUCAUCGUACAAGAUUGAGGACGGUUGCAAAAAAAUAUGGGCACAAUUGCUAAUCGUUAUGCCUUAUCUGAAUUGGAAGCAUGGAGUUUGUUUGAAAAGCUAGCAUUUGAGCCUGGACAAUCUCCAUUGAUUCCACACCUAGUGAAGAUUGUUGGGAAAGGUUUGUCUCAUACCAAUGGGUUAAAGAUGGUGUGAACACUUUAUCAGUCAUGUGUACACCCAGUAUUUUUCCAAGAUAUGCUGGCAUUCAUAAUAUCAGUCAUGUGCCUUUAGCCAUUAAUGUGCAAGAAGUGGUUAUUUUUGAGGGAUGCAAACCUCGGAAGAAUGCCAACUAGGAAGCAAGAUGACACAUCAUGAACAUUCUCAAGCUUAGCUAUAAUCACCUAUGGUUUCCAUUGAUCCAAGGGCCUUGGACGUCUUGCUGCAUUAGAACAGUUGGUUAUUUUCUUUUUCUUUCAACAAAGCAACAAGGAGGUGAAGACGAAGAUGAUCACAUGCCAUGGAAAGCCUUGAAAACUAUAAUCCUCAUUCUUUGGAGUUAUGGGAUCUUCGUAAACUAGUUGAUCUUUUAAUUGGGAUUCAGCAUUCGAUAAACCUUCGUUCUUUAACCAUCGCGUGUAAUCAUAAAUUUGGGAAUUACCAGAAUGGAUAUCUUGUAUACAUGAUCAUAAGCUUGUCCUUAGAGCAACACUUGAGGAAGAACUAUCUGAAUGAUUUCAAUGCUUAUUACUACCAUUAUGGUUAUUGUUUAAUUAGUUUGUUACUAAUUGUCUCAUUUUGCUGUUUUUAAAUACUUAUCAAAGACAUAAGGGGAGCCUUUUGUGUUCUUUGCAUCCCAUAUUGAUGUACUAAUCUAGUACAUGGCAUGAUGGCAAUACUUAUUUAUUGUUUGUAGUCCUGAGGAGUAAGCUAAGGGCAUAAAGCACCAGAUCGUGUACUUCUGGGUUGUAUGUGUAUUCAGUAAAAAAAUGUUAUAUUCUUUUUUUUUUGGAUGUACUGUUUGGAAAUUGAUGCUGAUUCUACUGUCUUAUUGACUUCAUAAAAUUAACUUGCUGAAGAGAUGCUGGGUUGUAUUUGUGAAAUAACUUUAUUUGGUUUUUUUGGCCUUUUGGUUUAGGGGUGUUUUGCAAAAUAAUUUAUUGGACAAUUUUAGCUUAUUUUGAUAUAAAUAGAGGGUUGUGGGAUCAAACCAGUCAAUUCUAAUGUUUGGUAAAUAGCUUAUUGAUAUAAAUAAACUGUUUUUUGAACAAGCAACUCAUAGUAGCGCUAGCGGGUUCAAACUCAGCUGGUCAAAUCAGUCACUGUAAUCAGCUAUUAGCUACCAGCUAUCAGCUAUUUAUCAAACACCUUCUAGUUUUUAAAUUGGUCAAAAAGCCAUUUCACAAAUAGCCUAUAAUUAUUUUUUAUCAAAACACGUUCAUAACAGUUGGUUUGUCAUCCGAACAUUUCCCCCACAAGUUUCAGCCAUCAAAGAGACCCUACAUAAUGAGCAUGUGAAAGUUUGCAAUUUCUACACAUACCGUUUGACCUGAGAAACAAGAAACUUGUCAAAUUAAGUAAUUUUUCGGCAUUGUCAAAUUUGGAUUGCUAAAUGCCUAAAUUUCUUUACAAUUCCUGAAACAUUCAAUGUUAAUGUUGUCUAUAUUUCUGUGCUGCCUUUAUAAGUGGACCGUGAAGUUUGCUUUAGACAUAUAGUCUGGAUCAUUGCUGCCUUUUGUGGACUUAAGUUUGCGUUAGGCUACAUUUACUUGGUUAUAUUACUUGACCGACUCAAGUUCGGUUUAAAAUAUUUUUAAUGUUGGUCGUACUUUGGGAUUUACUAUAUGUUUAUUAUUGCUUAUAGUCCAUAUGUUUAUUAUUAGUUAUGGUUUAUAAUUUUUGGUUAUUUCUUAUCUAUAUAUAUUUUAUUUUAUUUUAUUUUAUUCAUAUAUGUCUUUUAUUUUUUGAGUAAUCAUAGCUAUUCAUAUAUUUUUAGGAAAAAUUGACAUUAAUAAUCCAAGCUUUUGCUCAUCCGCUCUGAAUACUCCAACCUUUAGAUUAUUUUCUAAUAAUUCAACAUUUGCCUUUACUUCGUCGUGAAUAAUCCAACUUCUAUUUUAGUUUUGCUAGCAGCAUAUCCUAUUAUUACCUAUUAAUAGUAAUAUGGUAUGUUGUGGGAAAAUUUAUCACAAAAGUUAGAUUAUUAGAAAAUAAUCUAAAGAGGAGAUUAUUCACAGCAAAUGAGUGAUAUGUUGGAUUAUUAAUGUCAAUUUUUCUUACUUUUAUCUAUUAUUUUGGUUUGCUCAAAAUUUGUCUGUAGCAAAUAUGCUACGGGGAGGGGAUUGGGAGUACUAUCUAUCACCCAAAUUGAUGAACAAUUUAUGUAUUAGAGGAAUUAUGUAAGGUUGUAUUUGU